rnacentral:rRNA from 1 species
AACGAACGCUGGCGGCAGGCUUAACACAUGCAAGUCGAGCGCACCGCAAGGGGAGCGGCAGACGGGUGAGUAACGCGUGGGAAUCUACCCAUCUCUACGGAAUAACGCAUGGAAGCGUGUGCUAAUACCGUAUACGUCCUUCGGGAGAAAGAUUUAUCGGAGAUGGAUGAGCCCGCGUUGGAUUAGCUAGUUGGUGGGGUAAAGGCCUACCAAGGCGACGAACUAUAGCUGGUCUGAGAGGAUGAUCAGCCACACUGGGACUGAGACACGGCCCAGACUCCUACGGGAGGCAGCAGUGGGGAAUAUUGGACAAUGGGCGCAAGCCUGAUCCAGCCAUACCGAGUGAGUGAUGAAGGCCCUAAGGUUGUAAAGCUCUUUCACCGGUGAAGAUAAUGACGUUAACCGGAGAAGAAGCCCCGGCUAACUUCGUGCCAGCAGCCGCCGUAACAC